GGGGAUGAUCGGUUUCGACUGGGGAUGUCGAAGCAGGGGAAGCGAGCCGAGGAAGCGGCAAUGAUCUCGUUAACCAUAUGCCGAAACCAAUAAUCGCCAACACCAAGCGCGAUUCCUUCGCCCUCGCUGCCUGAGUAGCGACUUGCGAAGUGUCAGCCCGGGGCCGUUCCCGACCCGGAUCCUGGCAUCAGCUAGGGAACUCAACCUACAAGACCGGUCACGGGUCCUGUAGGGAAAUCUCACAGUGACUGAGCCCGUCGGCGGCUUGUCCGCGUGACCGCCGGGGCUGAGAAAAGCACAGCGGACUGCGCUCGGAGAAGCCCUGAUUCGCCACCACAGGACGCGGGUUCGAUUCCCGCCAUCUCCACUC
rnacentral:tmRNA from 1 species